rnacentral:rRNA from 1 species
GACGAACGCUGGCGGCGUGCCUAAUACAUGCAAGUAGAACGCACGGUUUAUACCGUAGCUUGCUACACCAUAGACUGUGAGUUGCGAACGGGUGAGUAACGCGUAGGUAACCUGCCUGGUAGCGGGGGAUAACUAUUGGAAACGAUAGCUAAUACCGCAUAAUAUUAAUUAUUGCAUGAUAAUUAAUUGAAAGGUGCAAUUGCACCACUACCAGAUGGACCUGCGUUGUAUUAGCUAGUAGGUGAGGUAACGGCUCACCUAGGCGACGAUACAUAGCCGACCGGAGGGGGGGGCCGGACACAGGGGGACUGAGACAGGCCCCAGACUCCAGCGGGGGGAAGCAGAAGGGAAUAUUGGAAAAUGGACGAAAGUCUGACAGAGCAACGCGGGGUGAGGGAAGAGGGUUUUGGGAUAAAAAGGCUUUGUUGAAAGAAAAGAACGGGGGGGGGGGGGAAAAUUUCACCUUGGACGGGAUUCUAACAAGAAGGGGAGGGCAAACUCGGGC